CAGCUUGUAUAUCGCUGUCUUAAGAUUAUUUUAUGAGAAAUUUUUCAAUAAUGAUUAUUUAUUUAUGUCAAGUCAAGGUGCAGUAAAUGCUUAGGGUUGAGAUGGGUUACAAUAYAUGUAUGUAUAUGAAGAUUAUUUUGUAAUAUUUGAUUGAAGGUGGAUUUUAUUGUAAUGUGAGGUUAUUUACUUUAUAUGGAAAAGUACUAAUAUAUGC
rnacentral:rRNA from 1 species